GAUAACUGGCUUGUGGUGGCCAAGCUUUCAUAGCGACGUCUCUUUCUGAUCCGUUGAUGUCGGCUUUUUCUAUCAUUGUGAAGCAGAAUUCACCAGGCGUUGGGUUGCUCACCCACUCAAAGGGGGCUGCUCUUUGGAUUUUGGAAGUU
rnacentral:ncRNA from 1 species